rnacentral:rRNA from 1 species
GACGAACGCUGGCGGCGUGCCUAAUACAUGCAAGUCGAGCGCUGAAGGCUGGUUUUUGUACCGACUGGUUGAGCAGCGAACGGGUGAGUAACGCGUGGGGAAUCUGCCUUGGAGCGGGAGACAACAUUUGGAAACGAAUGCUAACACCGCAUAAAAACUUUAAACACAAGGUUUAAGUUUGAAAGAGGCAAUUGCUUCACUCAAAGAGGAUUCCGCGUUUUAUUAGCUAGUUGGUGAGGUAAAGGCUCACCAAGGCGAUGAUACAGAGCCGACCUGAGCGGGUGGUCAGCCACCUUGGGAGGGAGACACGGCCCAAGCUGCCACGGGAAGCGGCAAGAGGGAAACUUCGGCCAUGGGCGGAAAUCUUACCACGACAAGCCGAGGGAGGGAAGAAGGUUUUCGGGUCGGAAAACUCUGUUGGUAGGGAAGAACGUGGGUGAGAGUGGAACGCUGAUCAAGUGACGGUAACUACCCAAAAAGCAACGGCUAACUACGUG